UGAGUUGCGAACGGGUGAGUAACGCGUAGGUAACCUGCCUUGUAGCGGGGGAUAACUAUUGGAAACGAUAGCUAAUACCGCAUAACAAUGGAUGACACAUGUCAUUUAUUUGAAAGGGGCAAUUGCUCCACUACAAGAUGGACCUGCGUUGUAUUAGCUAGUAGGUGAGGUAAUGGCUCACCUAGGCGACGAUACAUAGCCGACCUGAGAGGGUGAUCGGCCACACUGGGACUGAGACACGGCCCAGACUCCUACGGGAGGCAGCAGUAGGGAAUCUUCGGCAAUGGGGGCAACCCUGACCGAGCAACGCCGCGUGAGUGAAGAAGGUUUUCGGAUCGUAAAGCUCUGUUGUAAGUCAAGAACGGGUGUGAGAGUGGAAAGUUCACACUGUGACGGUAGCUUACCAGAAAGGGACGGCUAACUACGUGCCAGCAGCCGCGGUAAUACGUAGGUCCCGAGCGUUGUCCGGAUUUAUUGGGCGUAAAGCGAGCGCAGGCGGUUUGAUAAGUCUGAAGUUAAAGGCUGUGGCUCAACCAUAGUUCGCUUUGGAAACUGUCAAACUUGAGUGCAGAAGGGGAGAGUGGAAUUCCAUGUGUAGCGGUGAAAUGCGUAGAUAUAUGGAGGAACACCGGCGGCGAAAGCGGCUCUCUGGUCUGUAACUGACGCUGAGGCUCGAAAGCGUGGGGAGCGAACAGGAUUAGAUACCCUGGUAGUCCACGCCGUAAACGAUGAGUGCUAGGUGUUGGAUCCUUUCCGGGAUUCAGUGCCGCAGCUAACGCAUUAAGCACUCCGCCUGGGGAGUACGACCGCAAGGUUGAAACUCAAAGGAAUUGACGGGGGCCCGCACAAGCGGUGGAGCAUGUGGUUUAAUUCGAAGCAACGCGAAGAACCUUACCAGGUCUUGACAUCCCGAUGCUAUUUCUAGAGAUAGAAAGUUACUUCGGUACAUCGGUGACAGGUGGUGCAUGGUUGUCGUCAGCUCGUGUCGUGAGAUGUUGGGUUAAGUCCCGCAACGAGCGCAACCCCUAUUGUUAGUUGCCAUCAUUCAGUUGGGCACUCUAGCGAGACUGCCGGUAAUAAACCGGAGGAAGGUGGGGAUGACGUCAAAUCAUCAUGCCCCUUAUGACCUGGGCUACACACGUGCUACAAUGGUUGGUACAACGAGUUGCGAGUCGGUGACGGCGAGCUAAUCUCUUAAAGCCAAUCUCAGUUCGGAUUGUAGGCUGCAACUCGCCUACAUGAAGUCGGAAUCGCUAGUAAUCGCGGAUCAGCACGCCGCGGUGAAUACGUUCCCGGGCCUUGUACACACCGCCCGUCACACCACGAGAGUUUGU
rnacentral:rRNA from 1 species